UAUGAUUGCUAUAUAUAUAUAUGUGUCGAAAAGGCGUUUGUUCAACCCAAAAUAUUGUGCGGUUAUGCGUCCACGCAAUAGUUAGCCAGUUUCGAUGACCGCUCAUCACUGCAGAUUGCGGGAGUAGACCAGUCAGAUAACCUCAACAAUCUGUCCCAUCCUGAGUCAGCGUUUGAGCUUCGCCAGAAAAUAAAAAUUUGAUUCCGGAGCAGAGCCCUUCAAAGUACCUGCCCCAGAUUAUUCUUGGCCGUUCUCGGGGUCCUCGGAUGGUCAAUUGAGCAAGCAGUAGGCACUUUGCCUUCCCUUCUGUAAGCGUUCGCAGUACGUGCCCAAGCCAUCGUAGUUGUGACAUUUCUCUGCAGAAGCAGAGGUUGUACUCCAAGGCUUUCUCAGAUAUCUGAACUCCGGACGACGUGCAGACGCGUCAGCGCAACGAUUCGUCUCAGAAAGCCCAUUCUGUCCGCCUGUUUUAGAUACCAGAGUUUUUCAGUCAUGGUCUACGAUUCAUGACCAUAGAACAUGGGGAUGCAGACCGAUUUGAAAACAGACAGCUUAGACUUCUGACCCACCUUUUCUCUAGUAACAACGAUUCCGGCUAGUUCACUUAGAACGCCGCUGACUAUUCCAGUUAGGCGGUUGACCUUUUCCUACCAUUUUCCAACACCAGUAAACAACAUGAACCCGAAGUACGUGAAUUUCUCCACCUGCCCCACUGCUUCUCCGCUUAGCCGCAGAUCGUAACGGGCAGGAGAACGAGAAGCCACUAGGCUUCUGGUUUUAGACACGUUUAAACGUACUUUCAUAAUUUCUUUAUUAAUUCGGUGAAGUCGAUGAAGAGUCGUUAAAUGACUCGAUAUUUUUGCUACGUAUUUGCUUGUCGUUAUUUACUAUCUAUCCCGGAGAAAGUGUCAGAUGAGGCGGUAAAUCAGUGAAUAUUUAAUGCAGAUGUCUUAAGAAGAGCUCACUGAGGCCACAACCCUUAUGAAGAAUAAAAGAGCAAAUGCCCCUUGAUUUUGUUUUUCAGUGCCUCCCCUGCUGUGAAAACGAGGCCUAUUGAUCCUUUGACCUUGCUGAUUUCACAUAAGAGGUGUCAGAAAAGUUACCUUAGGGAUAACUAGCUUGUGGCAACCAUGUGUCGACAUCGACGUUACUUGAGACAUCAUUCGAUGUUUGCUCUUUAUAUCACCGCGAAGAAGAAAUUGCCUAGUGUUGGAUUGUUCAUCACUAAUAGAGAACGUGAACGGAAUUUAGACCGUCGGGAGAGAGGUUAGUUCUGUCCUACUAAUGACAAUACCGUUGCAAAAGUAAUCACGCUCAGUACGAGAGGAACCGCCGAUUCCGAUAAUUGGUUUGGGAAACUAAUCGAAAGGCCAGUGGUGCGAGUCUAUCGCUAGUGUGAUUAUGGUUAAACGCCUCUAAACCAGAAUCUGAUCCAAACCGAAAACAAAAUUAGACUCUCUGU
rnacentral:ncRNA from 1 species